rnacentral:tRNA from 1 species
GGUAAAAUGGCUGAGAUUUAUUAGGUGAUAAAUUGUAAAUUUAUUAAGGAAAAUUAUUUUCUUUUACCA